rnacentral:lncRNA from 1 species
AAAUGAGGCGUAGGCAAUUAUAAAUAGAUCGCCCUCUCUAAAUAACAAAAUGCAAAACUAGCUAAUAAAAAAGUUGGCCUUGUCAUAUUUAUUCCUUAUGCAAGAAACCUAAUCUUUGUCCAGCAAAAAGGGGUCUUUCGCCUGACUAGGCAGCUGAUGGUUGGAAUAGAAAAAAGCAGGCUGAUGGUUGUUCACUGCCAUUUUAGCCAAACAAUCCGCUAAUUGAUUCGCCUCUCUAUAGCAGUGACUAAUCUGGAUGUUGGAGGUGUUGAUAGCUGAUAAUAGGUUAAAUCUAGGUAAUUUGGCGAUUGUUUAUGCUCCAACUUGAUUAUAUUCCAAUAUCAUAAUAUGGUUAAUUGAUGAAAAAUAGGCUCUAAUUGUGAAUUGUAUAUAUUGCAGGAUGAAGAGCCUAGGUGAUGCCUUAAACAGUUGUGAUUGGAACCAUUUUGGAGCAAGAAAGACCCCUCAGAGCUGAGUACGC